CUAAAUACAGUAGCUAGGCUGUUAUCUACAAGACCUCAGCACUCAUCCCUCACUUUUCAACUUCCCUGUAAUGGGAAUUCACUGCCCCUGAGCCCUGUGGGAUGCACAGAGGAAGGAUUCUGGGUUUGCUAGGGUAUGCCAGUGGGCAGCUCCCCUAACCUCAGGGCUCCUUGGGGCUGCUGCCUUGUCUGUGUGUCACCUCCCCCACCUUUUUAGCUCAUCUAUUGCUGCACGAAUAAACGGUGUGCCUUGUGGAUAUAAAUACCAGAGUAUGGCCUUUCAACUAAGAGACAUGUUGGUGUAUAUAUACUUUGUGUGACAUAUUGUUCCUUGUUGUAAGGUCUGCUUACACUGUCAGAGCUGAGUGUACAGGCCUUUGGUGAAAAAACGACAUAAGGCUGGUCUGUUUGGCCAGUCAUUUUGUUCACAGAAUAAGCUGUAAUGUUGCUUUCCCCCCUGUAAUUCUUAUUUGGUGGUAGGGUGGGGAUUUAAUUUAAUUUAAUUUAAUUUUUAUUUUGAAAGGUUAAAAACUCCACAAAGCUGUUUUUACAGUGUCACAAUAUGUGGGCAAAUGAACUUAUUAAAUUACAUAAUGUUUGAAAAGCAAAUUUAGUAACAGGAAAACAAAAUUAUAUGAGUGUACUUUCUUUUCUUUUAGAGCAGUGAAAUACUAAGAUAAUAAACAGUAAUUGCUAAAUUCAGAUUUUGUGGGUAAUUUAGAAUAACAACCUUACUCCUUCAGAGUACAAGUCACACCCAAUUAAUGCAGGCUUCAGAAGUGAGAGACUUUCCCUUCUUGGGAGGGGCCUCCAAAGGUAAGGCUUUAAAAUGCAUUUCCCUUGUAGGCUUCCUUGAGAGCUGAUCAGUCUGGCAAGCUGACAGCAAGGAAGACCAAAUCCCUUGAUGGGGCUUGAAGAUAUGUUUGAAUACAGCAUGACUGAAAACAGAGAUUAGCCUUCUCACAUGUGGUCCUGAGCUGUCCUUCCACCCUCACCACACCAGGUUCCCUGCCAAGUGAGUGUGAAGGAGGGUGAGCUGGCUUGACUCUAGCCUCCCUCACUUUUGUUUGACAAAGAAAACUAACAUGGAACAAGAUUGUUAACAUGUCAAUAACUAAACAAAUGGUAUUGUGAAGUCCUUCAUAAACGAGAAGUGAGACAGAUACUUUCAGGUGCCUGGGCAGAGCUGACUGGAUUGACAGUGCAGGACAUUUAUUUCAUUAAUACAAACAAAACUGUUUAUUUUGCGGUACUAUCCUUACUUCUAAGUGCUUUCUGAAACCAGAGACAUCACCUGCUUUCUUGACAGAAAUCAAAGCAAUUCUUUCUUUUUUGUACAUGUAACAUAUAAUAAUAUUGCUAUGUGUCUUCAGCAUUCUGAUAUUGAUGUUAUUAUGUAUUCAAUGGUUUCUCAGGUCUGCUUUUAUAACAGAGCCUAGUUCUAAGGAGAAGAAACAGCAACAUUCAAGAAUGAAGAAAUGGGUAAAUGUCUAUUAGAUGAGACAUACUACUGCUAUCAGGGCAAUAUGGGGACACACUGCAGUUCUCUAAAAAAUUUGAAACUCCUAUCUAAUGUUAUAUAUUAAUGGAUUAUUUUUAACAUGGAUGUUUUUUAUUAAGCAGGAUGAGUUUGAAACAGCAAGUUUGUGCCCCAAUGUUAGCACAAGUCUUAUAAGACUAAAUAAUAUAAUGUAUUAUGACAGCUACUGUAAAGCUGAGUGACACUUCUGGUUUAGGAAACUGUGAGACAUAACCUCUAUUCUUUAAAGCUGAAGAUAGAAAUUUAAAAAAUGUAUUGAAUGAUUUAUCUUAAGAAGACACAUGCUAAGUCCUGUCAGCAAGCACAGCCAUCACUGAGUUCCUCUCAGAAAUUGCAUGUUGCAUGCAACACAGUUACAUACUUGUGUAGCGUUGAUGCAUUCAGUGUAAAGUUAAAAAACCCUCCAAAUUAAAUAUGUCAGCUUGAUAUUUUUCCCUACAAGUUCUCUUUGGGUAGGGGGCAUACUUAGCUUGUUUGAAUAGAGAGGAAGAGUUUUAAUUGCCUUCUGGCCAGCCUUGCCUCCAUGGGUCUACGUGCAGAUGUGAGAGAGGGUUAUGGCUACUAGAUCUUCAAUUUGUGUCUUACUGAGAGGAGGAGAAGCAAACAUGCCGUAAGAGAGAAAUAUCUGUAUUGCAUGCUGCAUUGUGCCAGACAAUGCGGAUACAGAGGCACUUAUGCAAGGACUGGCUAUCUCAAAAAUAUUCCCAAAAAGACAGUUUGGAAACAAUUAAGAAUGAAGAGAAUAUGUUUUUUGUUGCUUGAGUAUAUAUAGUAUGGGAAGAUUAAAGACAUUGCACUUGUAUGUCACAGUUUGCAAUCAAGGGCUCAUGUGAUUCCAUAGAAGUCAAUGCAAGAACAUGAUAAUUGGCUAAACGAAAGUGCUUGAAUGAACAUGGUUAAUUAUUUUAUAGCCACUACAUUUUACACUGAUAAAGCAAGAAGCAGCAGCAGUAAAAGCAGAAGAUACCAGAGGUUGUUGAUAGUAAACGGAUAAAAAUACCUAAAAAGCACUAUGAUACCAAGGACAUUCAGAUAGUGUUGUUUAGUAGUGAUAAAAAAAUACAGAUUACAAUUUUGUAAAAGUUCUGGUAUUUCUAAGAAAGCAGAAUCAAAUUAGAAUGAAAGACCCAAAACUGAAAGUAACAAGAACCCCAGGCAUUUUUAGAUACUCAUAGUACUGAAGUAUAAAUGUGAUAGAAAAAUGAACACAAAUAGAAACACAAAUAUUACAGGAAAAUAACCCCUCACAAAUGUUACCUGAAAUGGUACAGAAACAGUAAUUAUGAAAACUGGAUUUUGAACCUCUUAAUAUACAGUAAAAGUGCAAGUGAACUGACACUCCUAUUAGGGUAUCAUUUCAAUCUGAGCAAAUUAAAUACUUGCAUUUCAGCAUAAGUUCCAUAGACUUUUCCAUAGCCAAAUUUCACUAUUUCCAAGUCAGACUCCACAGGCAAUGCAUUAAGAUGAAGCAAAAGAAAAACUGCAAAACACUCUAUUCUCUGUUGCCAACUGUUGACAGUUACAGAUGAUGUGCCUGGUAUUUGGGGAAACUAAACAAGUCCAAGCCAGAGGCAAUAUCUGACUCUGUAUCACAGAGUUUUAGGGAAACCACAGCACUGAAUGCAUUGCUAAUAAAAGUACAAUAUGCAAACUCUGCAGCAUAUAGUGAAAAUAGAUUUUUGCUUGCAAUUCUCUAGAGUCCAUACAUUACUGUAAGGAUUUCACAUUCUGCAUGAUUUCACCACCUUUCCAGAAUAGCUGGAAAGCUCGUUGAUUUAACUGUGGGAGCAAAGUAAACUUGUAAGAACUGUGCUUGCUAAUGUCACUCUCUUUGCUUCCUGUUGCACUGCCUUGAAGACAAGGAUUGAGUGGGGGAGAGAGGAGGGGAAGGAGAAGACAAAUGAGCUCAGGGCAUGAAGUAUCAGGGGAAACACUGGAUGGACUGUCAAGAGAUACAAGAGGGGACUGCAAAAAAAUUCACUGCUGGGAAAGGAAAAAGCAGAAAAGUCAAACACACCUUAGGGAAAUAAUGGGGGAUGUGGAAAGGAGCAAGAGACAAGGUAAGAAAGUAAGGAAACGUAGUAGGAGGUCUGGAGAGCAAAAUGGAGUAAUGGAAGAAAGGCUGUGGAUUUCCAGAGAGAAGGAUCCAGAGAUCUGGAUCAGAUCUGUGCCUGCUGAUACCGCUUCUUAAAGAAGAGGAAGAAAAAUGAAAGAAAGCUGAAAAGAGAUAAGGAACGGUGGCUACUGGGAUUACUUCAUGUCUAAGGUGAUCAUAAGCAGCCUAAACCUUCCAGAAGAGCUUGAGAGGGGAAGAAACAGUUGUAUUUUUACCGAGGAGCCUGCAGAAGCACCCUGCAGGCUGUGACUGCUCAGGGACAGAUCCCAAACGCCCAACACUGGGCUGAGCAGGAUCUGUUCCAGAGCAGCUGAAGGGCAGCUCUCCGUGUCUGUGAGAGACGGGCACGGUGCCGAGCGCUCCCGUGCUCACACACACCGCAGCCCUGCCCGGGCAGCCUGUCCUGGGGGGAUUCGCCCUGGCACAGCAGCCUCUGCCAGCUCCUCAUGCAACCCAAGGACCACAAAGCAGCCACAGGUUGGCAUGGCUGAGCAAUUGCACAAAGGCUUCUUAGGCAUUUGCUUCUGGUAUUUCAAAACCUAAGUCAAGAGAAAAUAUUCUUUUUGUGCACCUGGCUUAGCUAUCUGUAUGUAAAGUCAGAAUGGAAACUGCUGCAUAGAAAUAAUGCCAUACAGGCUAGCUAGGAAGUGUCACUUCCAAAAUGCUAAUAUGCAGAUAAUUAGUUUAACUUUUAAGAUUUAUCUGUUUAAAUGUUCAUAUUAUGCACACAUAAUACGCAGUUAUAGUUAAUAGUUUUCAGCUCAGAUAGCUCAGAAUUUUGUGCGAAAAUUUGAUUAGGCUGAUUACUUUUAUACCUUGUUUAAUACUAUAAUUUCAUUAUAAAACCUAAUCUGGGCAGCAUUUAGCUUCAUAUGGCUCCAUUAGUUUUUCAGUAUGCAUGCAUUUUCAAUAAUUUCUGUAAAUGCUCUGUUAACACCAUUUUUAUUCAGCAAGUUUUUGGACCUCUGAAAACAGGUAACAGUUACUAUGAAUUUGAGCAACAGUGCUUUAAAAAAAGUACACAUUCCUAAAAUAUAAGGUAUCAGUUUUGAUCAGUACACUAUAACCCUUAGCAAAACAGAAAUUUACAAAUCCAUUUUGCCAUAAAGAUUUUUAAAAAUCCCACAACAAAGAAACAAAGAAAACAGAUUAUAUGAUAUCCUAAGUAAUUCAAGCUAGUACUUACAAUUUCACUGUAAAAACAAACAAAAAAACCCCCCAAAAACCCCAUUUCUUGUGUGUUAGUCCUUCCCUUCUUUAGGGAAAGAAGAGACUAAAUAAAAUAAACUAUAGAUUAACUAGUGUCCAGGCUAAAAUAAAUAAAAAGUAUAUUUCUUCUGGAUCUGAUAUUAGUGUGAUUUAAAUUGUGGAAAAAAGCCAUUAAAAGAAACAAGACCAAAUGCUUUAGUAUGUGCCAGAGCAGUGAUUGCCAAUUUUUGGGAUGCAAUGUUUUUGCAAAUAUUUCCCCUUUGUACUGAAAAGUCCAAGAGGAAAAAAGAAAGAUUGAAUCAUUUUCAUAAACCUGCUUUCAAACCACUGAGAACUCAGCUGAAAUAAGUUAUUUGGAUCCAUGCUCCACGUAUACAACCAGACUUGCACAGGAGAAUAGUUAACCAAGCCAUUCCUGAGUUGCUCCUAAGGCUGAACUUUUUAUUACUGAAGUCACAGUAUUCUUCCUUUGUGUAUCUUCAGCCACUUAAACAGAUUUGUGACAAUCAAAAGGUGAAAAAACCUGGCUAUACUCAAAACUAGUUGACAAAAGGCAUUUCUGGUCCAUUGGACAUUCAAACAGUGGAACAUUUUUAGCUGUGAGUGGGAAGGAAGUCUGGAUUCACCACGGAAUAUAAAUUCUAUCCUUUUCUCAAAAUAUUUUGAGAAUCUGAGUAACACAGUAAAUAAAAUACAUAAAUUAACUGUGAUAUUAAAAGAAAAUGCAUUCAGCAGUGAAGUUGAAAUAUUAUGCUACGAAUCCAGAAUGAUUUCUUUUCAGAAUUUCUUAUUCCUCACUCGAUGUUUGAGGGAUAUCUUUCCAUUUUAACAAGGCUUCAUUUUUUUCAACAGAAAACAUUUCACCUGGUAAUGUUUUAGCCCCAUACUACCCACAAACAUCAAUAUGCAGAAGCUGAGAGAGAUACACCCUUGUACAUCAUGUCACGCCCCCACAAACCCCUGUGAUAAUUCACGGGCUCCAUCUCUUUUGGCAAUAGUAGCAGAAACCUCCCAAAGUUCAGCGUAGUCAGAUUUAAUGUUAGUAAUCAUGAGCACCAAAAAAUCACAAUAAUACUUGAUCUUAUAAUAAAAAAUGGCAAAAGAGUUGUGUUCACAAUUAUUUUUUCCUUCAAAAGGGAAAUAUACAGACAUAGAUUUGGGGCAUGGGGAUUUUAUGUUCAAAAGAAGCAAGCAGCUAUCAUGACUGAUGGAUAUUUUUAAGAAUGCUGUUUUGGCAAGAAAAAUAACACAGUGCCUUCCUCCUGCCCCUUAUUCCCUGUGGCUUUACAUAAUCAGUACAGUUUUUUUUAUUUUUGGUUUUAACUUGUACUGAGCAUCAUAGAAAACAUUACUGGAAGGGACCUUGAGAGGUCAUGCAGUCCAACCUCUACCCCAGGGCAGGAUCUGUUCUUCCUGCAUUGGUCCUGAAAGAUGUCUGUUCUGUUUUUAAAGACAGUCUAUGAAGGGCAAGGGGUCACUAUCAUUGUUGUCUGCUCCAGGGCUCCAAAACCUUCACCGUGAAGUUCCUCCAAAUGUCUGAUCGGAAUCUUCCUUGUUGCAAUUAAACAGAUUACUGCUUCACCAUGGCUACAGGGAGGAGAUAAAUAUCUUUGCUUCUGCAAAAGCCUCAUACACUUGCAAAUUUGGGAGAGUGAAAUUGCCUAGCUUUUUCUAUAAUUACUUCAGCUUGGGAAUUCUAGCGACACAUUGGUGGGAGGUAAUUGUUUAGGAAGUGCUUAAGCAGCAGCUUGGAAAUAAUACUAAUAGUUACUGAGGGGAAUAGCCUGCCCUUUGGGCUCUCUGUAAGUCAGCUGGACAUAACCUAACUCAGACCAGAAAGUCUGCAUGAAAGCAGAUCAGGUGUGAAAGACGGCUAUUUACAGACUCAGGAAACAGCUGUGCACUUCAUGACACACAGUACCUUAAAUUCUCCCUAUGAUGGAAACUACAGACCUAUCACCCAUUGAAUAGUGAAUAUGAUAUCCAAUUUUUUUGCAGACACCAUUAAGAUGCAUUCAGGAGCUGCCAGCUACUGCAGGACACCACAGUAGGUUACACAGAAACUACAGCCAACAUGGGCUCAUGAGAGUUGCCUCCACCGCCUUGCCUCCAUCACCACACCUUGCCUCAUCAAACGGCAGGCACUGCUCCCCCGUUCCUCCUACAACCUCAACAUUUUUGGUGAGGUCUUUCGCACCGGUGAGCGACUUGGGCCGAUAAAUCCUGCGGGUGUUUGUGUCGGAAACGUACAAAUCUCCCGUCACGGGGUCGGUUGCCAGCCAUUGGGAUAAGAAGUCAUCCAAUCAAAAAGUAAGUAAUUUAUGCCUAACACAAUUAUUUAUUUCCAAAAAGAAAUUUUAAAGCUCUUUUCUUCAUAAAUAUGAAGAUGUACAUGCUAAUUAAUUCCAACAAAAAAGAAAUCAGGGCAUGAGUUCUCACGGUAAGUACCGUAUCCUCAUAAAAUAAAAAAAAAUACACCUGAUAAUUUAAAUGUAUUUUCUUAUUUUCUUAAAGAGUGGAAGUGCCUAGGAUAUUACUACUGGAUCAACAGAAACUCUCCAACUUGCCAUAUGCAGAUGUCUAAUGGCUCCUUUCUGAGCUGAUACAACAGGCUUAACCUCAGUGUUUCAUUUCAGGUGAAGGUUGCACAGCCAAGGAGGCUUUAGCCAAUAGCAACCCCCAAUAAUUGAUGGGAAAAAGGCACAAUUUGAGGAACUGAGUAACUGUCAAGUGAAAACUACAUUUCUAGCCAGAAAACAUCCAUGAGCACUAUGCAGACCUGAAAAAUAGUACCGGGAUAAGCAGCCAGCAGUUGGAAAGAAGCAGAGUUUAUACAAUUUCAUUGUACCCUGAAAUGAAAUUAAGCUUCUGCCUUCUACCCAUAACAACAAAUGCAAAGAAAUGAAAUCCCCAGCCCGUGACUUAUUGACUCAUUCAAUAUUGCCUAAUCACUUUCAGUAGCCUGCAAAACAUGGAGUUACAUACCCACACUGGCUCCUGCAAAGACAAAUGUCUAAAAAUUAACUUGCUCUGUCUAUGCUGUAUAAUAGUAAGUGCUUUGAAUUGAAAAUGUGCACACACUUGCACAGAGCUGUAAUGAUCUAUUUCUCUUUGCUUUUAUCUUGCUUAGGCCAAUCUUUUAAUUCUUCAGCUGUCAGAUCACCUGGACUAUUCUCCAUGUACAGAAUUUUUGAAAACGCUCCUCCUGCUUCAGUCCCUGUCUCUCUUGCCUUCACUGUGUACCCUCUAAACCAUAUAUCCCCUCAAAGCUGUUUUUCUGUUUUGUUAAGACUUUUUUUUUCUGGCUCUCUAUAGAUUUGGGAUAGUGCCAUAGCCUCCAAAAGACCUCCCUGUCUUCAAAGUCCUUCUAAAAAUGACUUUUUCCAUGAAUGUCUAUCAACAUUAAUCACCCACAGGCAGCAGUGUGUAUAAAGACAUCAUUCCAGCUUUGAGAUUGAAAGAAUGUGAGGUCACUGGUACAUGAGAGGAGAAAUUUGAUCUGCAUUCUCUCUCCGUAAGACAGAGUACAGGCUUCUUGAGGUAGGAGACACAUCACGCUGUGCUGAAACACCGUGUUUAUAGGCCAGGAAAGGUGAAUGCUUGAAUAGACAAGAGAUCUGAACUAGCAUUUAGCCUCAUUCAGUAGUUUUACUUGGGGAAUGCAUUUUUUAGUGCAUUUUCUUCUAAUGCCUAGCAAUUAUCUUUUGCAAAGUGGUCUGUUGAGGGCUUUUUUCCAAACUGCAGUUUAAGUAGAAAUCUCCACAGCAGUCUGAAGGGCUUGCCAGUGAAACUGGACAUUUUCUCCCUUCUCCUCUUACAGGCCAGACAAAUGUGCUUCCCUCUGCAGCAUUUCACAGGACUCUGCACGAAUUCAUGCAGCCAAAAGGAGGUACUUGGUCUCACAAAUUUUGGUGUCCUUAGCUGGAAAGCCCAUGGCAAGAGGAUUUGGUGGAUCCUAAAAGUUUACACAUCUUCAAUAAAAGGCAGCUAAAUUAAUAGAAUAAAAAGUUGCCAGGGGAUAUUAGGCAUAAAGAUCUCACUCUUGGCUUAGGAAGUCUCUCAUCAGCAAAUCUCUAAGGCUGAGAGUGGACAUUGGGAAAAUGUUGUAUGAUGUGAGAGAAAACUCAGACUCAUAAUAAAUCCUGUUGUGCUGCACAGUGGGCUCUGCACAGUGGGCUCCACACCUCCUGCCUACUGGCUCCACAACUGCUCCUGCAGAGCCAGUUCUCCACAGUCUUCUAUGUCUCCUUCUGCCCCAGGAGGAACCCCCACUUCACAGCUGCUAUAUGGGCCCACGCUGUUACACUAAUUUGUUUGGUAUGACUGCAAUUUUGCUACCCGGAGCUUCUGCAGGUUCAGGCAUGAAUAAAACAGAAAAGCUUCAGUAUUCUCCCUCACCAACUUCUCUUACAUGCAGGCAUCCAGUUUCUGAAACACUGCAGUUGAGGCUGUGACCACAGUUCUGCCGGAGGCAGGAGAGGGUGGUGCUACUAAAUCACAGCAAAAAGAACCUCAAUACGCAUCCACUCUUUAACCCCUUUUUGUACAUUCCACAAGCCCAUUUUAAGUAUUAUUCCACAUUCUAUAUAUUUGCCAAGACAAUGUCCUAUCUAGCUGCAAUCACAACUUUGUGAUACCGCAAGGGAUAUAAUUCUUUAAGAGUGGUGGAACACACACAAACUAAUUGUAAUAGUGAAACCCUAAACCCAGCAAACAGAAGAGACUGCCUUUGAGUCAUCCCUGGGAAAAAAACCACAAAACCAAUUCUGAUUAUUAGGACUGAUGCAGACACCUUAUUAAGUCAUGGAAUUUUUUGCCUACCAUAUUUGAAACAUGUUCUUGAAAUCAUAAAACCCUUCCUCAUACAGAAGUAUGUCCAAAGAAAAGUGAAUUUAAAAACCAAGGACAACAGAGAUAUGACUCUGGGAUUUGUUUAAAAACAAGAAAGAAAAAUGAUUGGCAGCAAAAAGGAGAGAAAGGUACCAGUGAGCCUGCUAAGCUGUAUACUUAGCAGUUCUGCCACUUCAAAUGUUUGCAGGGUUUCAUGUCUAAAACAAGAUUUUAGCAUGACUCUGUUUUUUUCCUCCUUAUCAGCACCAGCUGCUGUGGCAAAGCAAUUCUAAGCAUCCACCUACUCUUCUGUUCUUGCCAUUAUUGUAGCGAUGCCAGGAUGGAUGAAUGCUGUACUACAAUCCUCUGAUUACUGUUGUUUCUAUUUCAAUUUUGUGAGUUGGUAUAUUUUAAAAUCUUAACUCCUGGAGUUGUGUUAUUGUUAUUUCAACUUCCAUUAUUAAAAGAAGCUCACCUUUAAAGAAACAAAUCUGUUAAAUGAGAGCCUGAAAAGAUUCAACAUCAAAAGCCUAAUGAAAUUAACUCCCUUGAUACUUUUAUAUGCCAUUCUCAUCGUAUUUGGUGUAUCUGAUUAAUGAGUGAGUUUUGAUAGGAUCAGCAAAAGAGCUGCCAGCAAGGAGUGAGCAGAGAUGAGGGAACAGCAAAGGAGGGCACACACAAGCAUAACAAGAAGCCUGACUGUGGACAGAGAGUGAUGAGAAAAGAGGAACUCAUCAGAAAGGACGAUACAGCCUGACAGUUGACAUAACUAAAACAUAUGAACUCAUUAUUUUUGAAAAAUACUCCUCUUUUCUAGUAAUACAUCUCAGAAAUGACUUGCCCAUUAUAAGCAUUCAUUUGUUAAAAAAGAAAGAAGAACAGUUAGAAAAAUAUAAAUCUUCU